CCCCAUUUAUGAAAGCAACUUCUCAUAUGAACACCAGGCCACAACAGAAAUACAACCAGGACCACCAGAAUGGAGUCAGUCAAGAUGAAAAUGAAACUCGUUCAGGAGGCUUCAUUUGAGUCUCUCAUCUGUGUUCAGAAUAAGGGAGAGAAGUGGCAGGGGUGUGUGCGCAUGCAAGAUCUCCAGUCUGACAGGGUGGACAAACCCUGAGACAGUGAGUUCUUCAUCUCAAGGAUGGAUUUCCUGAGAAAACUGCUACAAACAUGCCUGAAACUGGGAUCCUGUGACAUCCCUUUCACAACUCUCACUGGCCCAUCUCAGAGGAGCUGAACACUGAAAAUAGACUCAAGAAAGAAGACCUGGAGUGAAAAGUUUCCCACAUUCUGGUGGGAACUGAAGAGCAGGAAAGGCUCCCUUCAGACCCUCUUUGUGGAGAGAAAAGCAGACUAGAGGAAAGUCAUUUUCCCUAGAGGAAAGUCAUUUUCUGGCAUAGAUAUAUCAGAGACAGGUAAAUAAUCACCUUCUGACCCUCCACUGGGUAGCUCCCUGUAGACUGUAUUUGAUGGUCUUCCCAAGGACAGGUAUGUACACCACACAAUGGGGUGAGAUGGAGUGGCUCUGUCUUGUCAGGCCCAGCCUUCCAAAUGCAUUCACUCAAUUCUGGGGAAAAAGAACAGCCUGUUCAGAGUACUGUGUUCCCAUGUCUCAGUUUACCUGGGAGCCUUUCUGAUAAACCUGCUGGGAUCAUUUGUUCUGCCAAGAGAAGGGAGGAGUUAUCCUUUGUUCCUUUUUUUUUGUUUAAUAAUUAUUCUCAAUUGACUACAUUUCCCUUGU